rnacentral:rRNA from 1 species
UACGGGGGGAGCAAGCGUUGUUCGGAUUUACUGGGCGUAAAGGGCGCGUAGGCGGCCUCCGCAAGUCAGUUGUGAAAUCUCCGAGCUUAACUCGGAAAGGUCAACUGAUACUGCGGGGCUAGAGUGCGGAAGGGGCAACUGGAAUUCUUGGUGUAGCGGUGAAAUGCGUAGAUAUCAAGAGGAACACCUGCGGCGAAGGCGGCCUGCUGGGCAGUAGCUGACGCUGAUGCGCGACAGCGUGGGGAGCAAACAGG